rnacentral:other from 1 species
UUUCCUGAAGUGUGCGUAAUGCUUUGUAUUUUAAACCCACAUUCUAAAUCCGGGAAUCCAGCGUCUUUUCAGCGGUGAGCACGUCUGCUGCGCGCAGGAAGCCUAAAGCUGGGAGCAGGAUACCCACCUGCCGAGAGGCGGGUGUUAGGAUUCAAAGCGUACGGCACUUUGGGUCA